AUGGCCAUGAUUUCCCUCCACGUAUUACUCGGCCUUCUCCUCCUCUUGCACGUCGCUCCUCCAAGCUCCUCUGACGAUACUCUCGCGGCUGGUCAGGUGCUCACCGUCGGGGACAAGCUCGUCUCAGCAAACGGCAGGUUCGCGCUCGGCUUCUUCAACUGGUUCCAGGUCCAGCCACCGAGCAACAUUGACAUUAGUAAGUCCAACAGCACCACCUUCCUCGUCUCCAACUGGUACCUUGGCAUAUGGUUCAACAAGAUACCAGUUUUCACCACCGUGUGGGUUGCAAACAGGGACAUUGACCCCAAGCCCAACCUAACACAGCUCAAAAUAUCAAGCGAUGGCAACCUUGUCAUCAUACACCAGGGUGGUGUACUCUGGUCCGCUCUUGCUGUAAACAAGAAUAGGACACAAACCUGCAGCAUAAACACCACCAGUGCAAUCCUCAUGGAUAGUGCAAACCUAAUCCUUACAUCGUUAUCUGGCCAAGUGCUGUGGGAAAGCUUCGACUACCCAACAGAUGUUGUGCUCCCUGGCGCCAAAUUUGGCUGGAACAAGCUCACCCGUUUGAACCGUCGGGCAAUCUCGAGAAAGAGCACCGUUGAUCCGGGGCUUGGCUCGUAUAGCAUCGAGCUAGAAACCAAUGGCAAAGGGAUAGUCCUCAAGCGCCGUAAACCCUCGGUAGUGUAUCGGAUUUAUGCGCCUGAAAGUUCAGAGAUAUUGAAACUUUUACCAAGAAUCCAAAAGAUUCUACAAUUGGACCCACGAACAAAUGGUUUGAUUGUCCCAAAUUAUACCAAUAACCCAGAAGAGGAGUACUAUAUUUACACCUCGCCAGAUGAAUCAUCCUCCUCAUUUCUCUCGCUAGACAUCUCUAGUCAGAUCAAGCUUAAUAUCUGGUCACAAGCCAAUCAAUCUUGGCAAGCUGUAUUUGCCGACCCUGUUGAUGUCUGCACCCCAGCUGCAACCUGCGGACCUUUCACGGUAUGCGACGCCAAUGCGCUAUCACCAUGUGACUGCAUGGAGAGUUUCUCUAAGAAGUCACCCUGGCACUGGGAGUUUGGUGAUCGAACACAUGGGUGCAUCAGAAAUACACCGCUAUAUUGCACCAGUGGCAAGAACACGACAACUUCGACAGACAUGUUCCACCCAAUUGCUAAAGUUACAUUGCCCUACAACUCGCAAAGUGUAAACCUUGCUACCACUCGUAGUAAGUGUGAGGAAUCUUGUCUCAGCUCAUGCUCCUGCACGGCUUAUUCCUAUAGCAAUAGCAAUUGCUCUGUCUGGCAUGGGAAACUGCUUGGUGUAUGUCUCAGUGAUGGCCUUGAAAUUAGUUCUGAAGAUGUUCUUUACCUGCGCCUUGCUGCCAAAGAUAUGCCAAGUUUGGGAAAAGACAAAAGAAAACCAAAUGUUGGAGUUGUUACUGCUGCAAGCAUUAGUUGUUUUGGGUUACUAAUGCUCCUGAUGUUGCUAGUGAUUUGGAGAAAAAAACUUAGGUGGUCCAGUUCGCCAUUUUACGGCAGUCAAGGCCCUAGUGGGAUUAUCGCAUUUACAUACACUGAUUUAGCUCGUGCUACUAAAAACUUCUCUGAAAAGAUAGGAACGGGUGGUUUUGGUUCUGUAUACAAGGGAAUGUUAAAUGACUCAACUACUAUUGCAGUGAAAAGGCUUGAUGGUACCCGCCAGGGAGAGAAGCAAUUCAGAGCCGAGGUGAGCUCAAUUGGACUGAUCCAACAUAUCAACCUGGUGAAUUGA
rnacentral:rRNA from 1 species